AAUCAACGCUGGCGGCGUGCCUCAGACAUGCAAGUCGAACGCGAAAGUUUCCUUCGGGGAACAAGUAGAGUGGCGCACGGGUGGGUAACACGUAGGUAAUCUACCUUUGGAUGGGGAAUAACAAUCGGAAACGGUUGCUAAUACCGCAUAAUGCGGCGGCACCUAAUGGUGACAGUUGUUAAAGCGGGGGAUCGAAAGACCUCGCGUCUGAAGAGGAGCCUGCGGCGGAUUAGCUAGUUGGAAGGUAAUGGCUUACCAAGGCUACGACCCGUAACCGGCCUGAGAGGGCGGUCGGUCACACUGACACUGACAUACGGGUCAGACUCCUACGGGAGGCAGCAGUCGGGAAUUUUGGGCAAUGGGCGAAAGCCUGACCCAGCAACGCCGCGUGAAGGAUGAAAUCCCUCGGGAUGUAAACUUCGCAAGAACGGGAAGAAUAAGCGAGAGUUAAUAUCUCUCGUGAUGACGGUACCGUUUGUAAGCUCCGGCUAACUCCGUGCCA
rnacentral:rRNA from 1 species